GAUGUGAUGAAAUGCCAACAAAAAACACAACGGAGCAGUGAGAAACUAAUGACUCUGUCGAACUAUCGCACACCAAGACAAAAACAGUGUGUGCCAUUGUAUGUGUGCCGUGGGUGUUCCCUCAUUGUUUUUAUUAGGGUAAGUGUAUUGAUAUCUACUGUAUUUUGUUUUGUCGAUGUAGUCAUUUUUAAUUGGCAAAACUGUUCUGAAAUCAAAAAUAAAUGAAUUGAUUAAAGAGACUGAAUGAGUUUGAGCAGAAUUCAAGCUAAGCUAAUUGGCUAACCUGUACAGUCACACAGGUGUUUUCAGUUAUUCUGGCUGAUUAGACCUCCCAGGUUGAAUUUAGAUCACCAAGCUCAACGUACCAAUAACAAGAGUGAUGCAGGUGCAACAGGAGAGUGAGGGAGAUGUCAAUCAAGCAGAGUCUGGACACGCCCACUCAGUCUCAAUCAGGUGAAGUGAAAACGCCUGUGUGGAUGUGCCAUGUUAGCAGCCACUCAGACUCAGUAAGGCGAGGCCUGGUCAAAACAGGUAAGCGCUAGCUUGGAUAGCAUAGCAUAGCUAACAAUAAGAGAACCUGUACUUGGUUCAAAUCACCAAUUGAUUUUCUUGUUAGCUGGCUCUUCUUCAGUACCAUAAAGGAAUAAAAAUUAUUUUUAAUUUAUUUUAGUUCAUUGUUGUUGCUAACGUUAGCUGUGUCUGAAGGGCAGAGCCAACUGACCCCUUGUUGGCAGAGGUUGCAGGAGCUCACCAGGCCCUCCAGCAUGAGGUGUUGACUUGGACCAGCCUUACAAAGGAGCCCCCGGUGCCACACUUGCACCUCUGCAGACAGCCCUUCCCGAAGGUGCCUGCUGGACAGGACUCCUCGCAGUAGCGUCCUAUGAACCCUGGAAGACACUGACACGCCCCCUUCACAGGAUCGCACAGAGCUCCGUUCUCACACUUGCACUGCUGAUUGCAGCUCGAGCCCCAGUGUUUGUCGUCACAGGCUGAAAAAUGAAAGUGUGUGGACACUGGAGGAUGGAGAUUUGGGGGAUCUAAGAAAAGGCUAACGUCAUCAAAUGAAAGAGGCUGCACACAUUCGGGUCUCUUGGGUUCAGGGAGCAGCUCAGACCAAUCAGGAGGCCAAGAAUCAGCAGGAGGGCGGAGCUCGGCAUGAUCGGCAUGGUCCUGAGGGCGAAAAAAGGAAAGGCAUUUACAG